rnacentral:lncRNA from 1 species
GCUUUAGUGAUUCCGGGUCAGAGUCUUGCAAUCAGAAGCAACUCCCACCCUCAGCCCUCAAAAUGGGCCAUCUCAAAUCUUACUAGCCAAUGGCACUCCAAGGAGAGGGAGGAGCAGUGUCCCUGUCAGGAAUUACACAGAUAUUGUUUGCUCUGCAGACCUGAGCUGCCUCUUAAGGGUGCUGAUUACACAGCCUUCUUCAUCUCAGCCUAUGUCCAGAUGGAUCACAGAAUCCUCACCACAAGGGAGCUGGCCAGCCUGACCUGGAAGGACCAUCCAGAAACUCAACCAAGGCACCACAGACUGCUGGGGAAAGGUUCUUGCUGUUUUAAAUAACAUGUCCAGGCCGGGCACAAUGGCUCACGCCAGUAAUCCCAGCACUUUGGGAGGCCGAGGAAGGCGGAUCA